rnacentral:lncRNA from 10 species
GGGGACUUGGGAGCGCGCGCUGCCCCUCACUUGGCUGCAACUGGACCCAGAACUAGGGAAGAGGCCAGGGACAGAUUUUUUUUUUUUAUUUUUAUUUUUUUUGCCGAGGGACGUUUCAAAAUUUUGCACGGCCAGGGUGACAAAAAAUGAGAACCUAAACACAAAAGGAGUUGAUCCUAACUCACAUGUUCUUUUCCACAGGCUUCCAGAGGUGUUCAUGCAGAAGACUGGAUGCAGGUGAUGUGGCUAUUACCAUUUUCUUCAUUUUAUCAAUUUUUUCCUCUGUUUUCAGGCUAUAACAAAAUAUAAUAAACUGGGUACCUUAGAAGCAACGGAAAUUGAUUUCUCGUCCAAAAUUGUAAGAAUCCUUUAUCCCACAAAAAAUUGAUCCUGUCUUUUACAGAAUUGCCCAGCAGAUGUCUUUUUCAUUUCCUUUGCUUGUGGUUUGCCCAUCUGUCAGCUGUGAAUGACCCAAACAACGUGACACGCUAUUUCUAACUCAACAGUCCUGGAACUUUCUUGACCUUUGACAAAGCCAUCAGAUCACCAUCACCAUCAUUAUUGUUUAUAGAAACAUGAAAAUUCAACCAUAAAAAGUCAUUCUUUGCUGCAUUUUCUCCAAAAAACAUUUCUGAUUUUAUUUCCAAUUUGCUUAGCAGGUAUGCUCACUCUUUCACUAACCUUGAGAGACAUUGUCAGAUGUGCAUAAGGGAAGAACAUGAAGGACGACGGAUAAACUGUACACAGACACAGCACAUGGAGUCUGAGUCAUUUGUUUUCUCUGACAGAUCUUUACCAUGCUGGAUUGGAAGAGAAAAGACCAUCACUAAAGCAAAUGGAUCAAAUGGAGUUAUAAAUCAACUCUGUACUCUACAGGAUUGACUCAACUGCAGACAUCUCCAAUACACUCCCUCAUGGCUUUAUUUUUUCUGCUUAUGUGGAAAAAUAACAGUAAAUACAGUUAACUAUCCCAAGACAGAAGAGUAUUAUUAAAAAAGAAUACAACGUUAUUGAUUUUUCAAGACAUAAUCAGAUAUUUUUAAACUCUGAUUUAAUAAAACAUAAUGUAAUUUCUUUUGUGGGAUUUUUUAUGCUUUCCCAAUGUUUAUUACCCUGUGUGUUUCACACUUCAAAAUGAGAGUAUCGUAAUAAGAUCACUUGAGAGGAUCCUGAUCUAAGUUACAAAAUCCCCAUGGCCUUUAUAUCCACAUUGUCACAUUCCCCCAGUCAUCUCUUUCUACUUUAUUGUAUCUAUUACACUUUACACUUAUUUAUGUUUUUCUAUUUACUUUAUAUAUACAAUAUCAUGGGGUACAUAGUGUAA